rnacentral:rRNA from 1 species
GAUGAACGCUGGCGGCGUGCCUAAUACAUGCAAGUCGAGCGAACAGACGAGGAGCUUGCUCCUCUGACGUUAGCGGCGGACGGGUGAGUAACACGUGGAUAACCUACCUAUAAGACUGGGAUAACUUCGGGAAACCGGAGCUAAUACCGGAUAAUAUAUUGAACCGCAUGGUUCAAUAGUGAAAGACGGUUUUGCUGUCACUUAUAGAUGGAUCCGCGCCGCAUUAGCUAGUUGGUAAGGUAACGGCUUACCAAGGCAACGAUGCGUAGCCGACCUGAGAGGGGGGUCGGCCCACCCGGAACUGGGAACCGGUCCAAACCCCUACGGGAGGCCGCAGUAGGGAAAUUUCCGGAAAGGGGGAAAGCUUGACGGGGCAACGCCGGGGGGGGGAUGAAGGUUUUCGGGUCGUAAAACCCUUUUUUUAGGGAAAAAAAAAUGGUUAAGUAACUAUGCCAGUUUUGACGGUACCUAAUCAAAAAGCCCCGGCUAACUUCCG